UGGGGGGUGUGCGGGGUAGGGGAGGUGGAGGUGAGGGGGUGGGGGUUUGGGCGGACUUCGGCCAUUCCCUGGCUACUGUGCAGCCGCCCUCCUCACACAGCCUACCGGCAACCCCUCCACCUGCCCAUCAGUUCAGAGAGGACCAAGGCCCCACCCCUUUGGAUCCUGAGUUCCUGGGGCCCCUCUGACCCCCCACACCCAGCCACACCUCAGUAAAGGCCCCCCCAUCACUUGGGGCUGGGCUGCGUGUUUCCUCUGCGACUCCAGGAGGGAAGGACCUCUGCUGACCCCACCCGUCCACGCCGGGGCUCUGCCUGUGUGCGGAGCGGACCUCUGGCCUCCUGCCUCCAGGACAGUCACCACCAAAGCACUUGGUGAUGAACUUGGCUGAAAAGCAAAAUCCUUGACCAAGCCUGGGGGACUGAUCUCUUCAUUAAGAAGCUGCUAUUCUCUGGCAAAAACAAAACAGCCAAGCUGUCUUCAAUUCAUCAGUGGAGAUCGAUGUUUCCUAUGAGGGGUUUAGAAACCGGGAACUGACUUCAUUAAAUGCCCUCGUGGCUCUUUCAAGACGCAAAAGUGUAAACCCUCCGUUCACACUGCCUGGAGCUGGAGGAUGGUGACAUGAACACUCCUGAGGUCACUACCUGGGACUGUGCUGUGUCAGACGCAAAGCCAGCAAGCACUGGGUCUCACCCAAGGCCUGAAGUGACUACUGCCUGGCUACCAUGUUUACUCAAGGCUCAAGGGCUCCAAUCAACAGGUGGUGAAUCCAGGUUGCGUCCCUCCCUUUAGGGUGGCAGGUUUCUCCCAGCCCCAGGUUGGUCCAGAGACGCCAUCUGGGAGCCAGGGCCUGGAGUUGUGAACCUUAAGAAUCUACUUGGUGGUCUAUUCUGCUGCAGCUGACCUAGCUCUUAGGCCACAAGACAGUCCUUUCCACUCUUUCCACCACUUUCCUCAAGCAGAGGAGUCUCCCUGGGGUGAUCUCAAUCUCAGACCUGCAGGGAGUAUGGCCCAGCUACUGCCAAUGUCCACUCAAGGCUCCAGGGCCCUUCAGUCAGCAUGUGGCAAAUGCUCCCAGGCCUGGGACUCACCCUUCAGGGCAUUUGGCUCCCUGCUGGCCCAGGGUAGGUCCAGAAAUGCCAUCCAGGAGCCAAGGCCUGGAAUCAGGGACCUCAGGAGACUGCCUGCUGCUCUACUCAGCUGUGGCCAAGCUGGCACCUGACUCAAGGCAAAAUCCACUUGACUCUUCCUUCUCCUUUUCUCAAGCAAAAGGGCUUCUCCCUGCAGCCCUGUAGCUACCACAGCUGAACAAGCACAGCUCUGGGCCUCAAUAAGGCCCACAGCAAGUACUCCCUGCUUAC